CCGGACGAAAACAAGAAGAAUUCUCUAAAGUGCAUCUACUGUCAUAAUGUGUACACCAACGGUAUUACUCGAAUAAAGUUCCACCUUGCAAACAUUCCCACCUCUGGUGUUACUCCCUGCUUAAAAGUGCCAGCUGAUGUAAAGGAUGAAAUCAUUGAGUAUUUGACAAGCAAGGAUAAUAAAAAGGCAUCAAGGAUUACAGAGCAGAAGAGAAUUAGAUGUGAAGUGGACUUGAGCCACUCAGAGGGGGAAAGUGUAAGUGAUGAAGAUGGUGCAAGCAAUUCUGUUAUGUUGCUUAAGUCAACGAGAGGCACAACAUCUAAAUCAUCAGGUGGCCCUAUGGACAAAUUCUGCAAAUUAACUCUUGAGGAGGCUAUAGCUGCAAGGAAGGAAAAAUCUUUGAGAAGACCCAAUCAAAGAUCACAGCUGGGAUGA
rnacentral:rRNA from 1 species